CAGCCAGGGCACAUGAUACACUGCAAUAGCUGCACAUCGUUUACAGAGAAAAUAAGAAUCAGUGUGAUGAGAGGGCAGCUCGGUUUAAACUAUCAGGAUAUUUAUUUAUUACAGCUGUUUGUAAUAACAUGCUCCACUGUCUUGUGCUCACAUAAUUUGCUCUGGCAUUAUUAAAGUAUUCUGAUUCUGAGCCCCUGAUGUUGUCACAGAUCCCGGCAGGUGUGGAUAAAGGUUCCUCCUUCGUGUGUGCGUACCUUUGCCAGCAUUAGCUCCCACAGACUCAUCACUUUGGUCAGACGAGGAAGAACGAUGUCCAUCAGCUCCUCAUCCUUGCACUGCUCCACCACCUGUGAGCGACGUGAUAGGACACUCAGGUGUCAGCACAUCAGAUUCUGUCUCUCACAGUGGAAAUGCACCUAUGCUGAAAAUUGUAGACCCCUCCAUGAUUUCUAAUUGCUGCCAUCACCCCAAUAUUGAAAACAACAACAACAACAACAAAAAAACAGGUCUAGACCUCAAUAAUUUUGACAAUUUUUGUCCUAUUUCCAAUCUACCAUUCCUCUCAAAAAUUCUUAAGAAGAUAGUUGCCACACAACUCCACUCACACUUAACUAACAAUAAUCUGUAUGAAUAUUUCCAGUCUGGUUUUCUGGUUUAAUCCUGAUUCUGCUCUUCCCCCAUCCUCCCUCACCCUCUGUUUAGCCGAACUAAAUUCAUGGUUCUCUUCUAAUUUUCUUAAACUCAACAGUAACAAAUCCGAGCUUCUCUUGGUCGGCUCUAAAUCAACAUUAUCCAGAAAUAACAGUUUCUCUAUUACAAUCAAUACUCAAUCAAAAAAUAAAACUCGCCGGUCUCCGUUUCUUCCUCUGUGAAAAGUUUGGGUGUCAUCCUCGACAGUACUCUGUCUUUCCAUUCACACAUCAAUAAUGUCACUCAGUCUGCAUAUUUUCAAUUGCGCAACAUUAAUCGUCUCCGUCCUUUUCUCUCCCCACAUGCCACACCCAUUCUUGUUCACAGCCUUGUUACUUCUCAGAUUGAUUACUGCAAUUCACUUCUUUUUGGUUUUACUCAAAAAUCCAUCCACAAGCUCCAAUGUGUCCAGAACUCUGCUGCCCGUAUUAUCAUCGGGAUCCCUUCUAUCCACCACAUCACUUCUGUCCUGCAGCAGCUUCAUUGGCUCCCGGUCAAAUAUCGCAUCAAUUUCAAAAUACUUCUGCACACAUUUAAGGCUAUUCAACAUCUCUCCCUCUCUCUGAUUUGGUUCAGAUCACCAUUCCAUCUCGGUGUCUUAGAUCUUCUUCUUCUCUCUCUCUGUCCCCUCUCCCUGUCUUUCCACCAUGGGGAGCAGGGCUUUCAGCUGCUCUGCUCCUCGACUUUGGAAUUCCCUUCCUCCUGAUAUAAGAAAUAUCACUUCAUUCUCUCUCCCUUGUUCAAAAUAGCUCAACCCACAUAACACUCUAUUUCAAUUUUUUUUUGUCUUAUGCUCUUAUGAUUGUGUAAAUUGCUUGCUUUUAUUAUUCUGCUGUGUACAGUGUCCUUGAGUGCUCUGAAAGGCGCUUUCAAAUAAAAUGUAGUAUUAUCAUU